rnacentral:misc_RNA from 1 species
UUUUCUUUUUUUUUUUUUUUUUAACUGUUCGCUUCAGGGAACUCUUGUAAAAAAAAUAUGCAUAAUUUUCUUCUUGCUGCUCCUACUCUUUUGAGGGUCAAAUGAUCUCCUAUGUAAAUCUUUGCUUCUUUGUUGUCCUGUACCUGAAAACACUUGCAAGCACAAUCUAAUUUCUACCUUCUUUUUAACUUGAUCAUUUCCUGACGACAUUGAGUUAGGCUUAGGGAAUGUAUGAUCUGCAGCACUUUGAAGCAAUAUAUUGAUAAAUACAAUUGAAGAAAAUAAUUAGUUCUUAUUACAUUUGUUUUCAAAUAAAAUUAAAAUAAAACUAAAAAUAUAUUUUUUAAUAAAAUUAAAAGUGAAAUCCCACCCAAGUCCAAUUAAUGUUCCGCCAAUCACGAACAGAAAUCUUUUUUCAACAGAUCCCUGG